rnacentral:rRNA from 1 species
GAGUGCUAAGUGUUAGGGGGUUUCCGCCCCUUAGUGCUGCAGCUAACGCAUUAAGCACUCCGCCUGGGGAGUACGGUCGCAAGACUGAAACUCAAAGGAAUUGACGGGGGCCCGCACAAGCGGUGGAGCAUGUGGUUUAAUUCGAAGCAACGCGAAGAACCUUACCAGGUCUUGACAUCCUCUGACAACCCUAGAGAUAGGGCUUUCCCUUCGGGGACAGAGUGACAGGUGGUGCAUGGUUGUCGUCAGCUCGUGUCGUGAGAUGUUGGGUUAAGUCCCGCAACGAGCGCAACCCUUGAUCUUAGUUGCCAGCAUUCAGUUGGGCACUCUAAGGUGACUGCCGGUGACAAACCGGAGGAAGGUGGGGAUGACGUCAAAUCAUUCAUGCCCCCUUAUGACCUGGGCUACACACGUGCUACAAUGGACAG